UGGAAGUAAAAGUCGUAACAAGGUCUCCGUUGGUGAACCAGCGGAGGGAUCAUUACCGAGUUAUUCAACUCAUCAACCCUGUGAACAUACCUAAACGUUGCUUCGGCGGGAAUAGACGGCCCCGUGAAACGGGCCGCCCCCGCCAGAGGACCCUUAACUCUGUUUCUAUAAUGUUUCUUCUGAGUAAAACAAGCAAAUAAAUUAAAACUUUCAACAACGGAUCUCUUGGCUCUGGCAUCGAUGAAGAACGCAGCGAAAUGCGAUAAGUAAUGUGAAUUGCAGAAUUCAGUGAAUCAUCGAAUCUUUGAACGCACAUUGCGCCCGCCAGUAUUCUGGCGGGCAUGCCUGUUCGAGCGUCAUUACAACCCUCAGGCCCCCGGGCCUGGCGUUGGGGAUCGGCGGAGCCCCCCGUGGGCACACGCCGUCCCCCAAAUACAGUGGCGGUCCCGCCGCAGCUUCCAUCGCGUAGUAGCUAACACCUCGCGACUGGAGAGCGGCGCGGCCACGCCGUAAAACACCCAACUCUUCUGAAGUUGACCUCGAAUUCA
rnacentral:rRNA from 1 species